rnacentral:rRNA from 1 species
AAAAAGUAACGGAGGCGUGCGAAGGUUCCCUCAGCCUGAUUGGAAACCAGGCGUAGAGUGCAAACGCACAAGGGAGCUUAACUGUGAGACCGACAGGUCGAACAGGUGCGAAAGCAGGCGUUAGUGAUCCGGUGGUUCUGCAUGGAAGGGCCAUCGCUCAUCGGAUAAAAGGUACUCUGGGGAUAACAGGCUGAUCGCGCCUGAGAGUUCACAUCGGCGGCGCGGUUUGGCACCUCGAUGUCGGCCCAUCGCAUCCUGGGGCUGGAGCAGGUCCCAAGGGUUCGGCUGUUCGCCGAUUAAAGCGGUACGCGAGCUGGGUUUAAAACGUCGUGAGACAGUUUGGUCCCUAUCUGCCGUGGGCGUAGGACACUUGAGAGGAGCUGCUCAUAGUACGAGAGGACCUGAGUGGACGUACCUCUGGUGUUCCGGUUGUCCUGCCAAGGGCAUAGCCGGGUAGCCAUGUACGGAACGGAUAACCGCUGAAAGCAUCUAAGCGGGAAGCCGGCCUCAAGACUAGGUGUCCCGAGCCGCAAGGCUCCUAAAGACCCCUCGUAGACCACGAGGUUGAUAGGCCGGGUGUGGAAGCGGAGUAAUUCGCGGAGCUAACCGGUACUAAUCGGUCGUGCGGCUUGACCAU